GUUGUCAAGAGGUGGGCCCAUCUAGGAUUUUUCCAAUGAAAACAUUGUGUAUCGUCGUGUUCUUAAAACGUUUACGAACAGUUAGAUAUCUUACCGUGCUAAAUCUAAAAUAAAAUGAAGGAGAAAGGCGUAAUUAUCCAAUUUCACUGUUUUUAUGAAAAAUUAAACUAUUUGUUUCCAGGAUAAUCGGUAAAAGUUUACAAUUGGGUGCCCUCUCGAUUUUUUGGACGCCACAAGGGUUUUCGAUCUGGUGUUUACUGAUACAUUACUGAAAAGAUUGCAUUUAAAAGCUGUAUGUGAAAGAAUGCAACCACCGAAUCAUUUGUUGAAUUCCAAGAUUGUGUUGUCGCAAACGUAAUGACAUGCUAAUGAGAAAAGCUGAUAAAUCCUCACAUCUCUCGGAAUAAAAGUGGCAACAAUAAGAAAGGCUUGACUUACCAAAGACACUAUCCCAACUUCAACAUGCAGCAUAUCUUGAUGGAAUCGGGAAUCAUGAAAUAAUAAAUUCCCCAAUGCAUGUUUAGAAAUUUUUAAUCACGCUUUAAUUUUUAUUACUGUAUGUUACUCACAUACAAAAAAAAGAGGAAUUUUAUUCUUAUGACCCAUGUUAUAAAACAAAAAUUACAUUCAAAAGAUUCCAUACUGAUUCACAUAAUGAAGUAAUUUCAUUUUUGUCAUUUACAGACAAAGGAAUUAAAUUGUAUUCGUCGUGAAUAUUUUAUUGACAAACUGGAAUUAAAGUGACAUGCAGAAAGAAUAGUUUUGAGUUAAUUUUCUCAUUCCCACUUAAUGUAGAAACUAUAUGCUUGCAAAUUUUGUGAUAUUUCCUCAGCUUCCGAAUUAAAAAAAAAAUAUUUGCUGAUUCAUACUAAAAAGAAACCACAUACAUGUGACGCGUGUUGUAAAGCAUAUUUUCAACGGUCACAUUUAAAAAAUCAUUUGAUGUUGCAUACGAAUAAGGAAUCCUACGCUUGCAGCUGUUGCAACAAAAUCUAUUCUAUUAUUUUCAAUUUAUAAAGACAUUUACGGACGCAUACA